AGUGAACGCUGGCGGUAGGCCUAACACAUGCAAGUCGAACGGCAGCACAGUAAGAGCUUGCUCUUACGGGUGGCGAGUGGCGGACGGGUGAUGAAUACAUCGGAAUCUACUUUUUCGUGGGGGAUAACGUAGGGAAACUUACGCUAAUACCGCAUACGACCUACGGGUGAAAGCAGGGGAUCUUCGGACCUUGCGCGAUUGAAUGAGCCGAUGUCGGAUUAGCUAGUUGGCGGGGUAAAGGCCCACCAAGGCGACGAUCCGUAGCUGGUCUGAGAUGAUGAGCAGCCACACUGGAACUGAGACACGGUCCAGACUCCUACGGGAGGCAGCAGUGGGGAAUAUUGGACAAUGGGCGCAAGCCUGAUCCAGCCAUACCGCGUGGGUGAAGAAGGCAUUCGGGUUGUAAAGCCCUUUUGUUGGGAAAGAAAAGCAGCAGGUUAAUACCCCGCUGUUCUGACGGUACCCAAAGAAUAAGCACCGGCUAAAUUCGU
rnacentral:rRNA from 1 species